rnacentral:siRNA from 1 species
AGUGCAUUCUGGUCAUAUGGUA